rnacentral:rRNA from 1 species
CCUACGGGGGGCAGCAGUGGGGAAUAUUGGGCAAUGGGCGCAAGCCUGACCCAGCCAUGCCGCGUGAGUGAUGAAGGCCUUCGGGUCGUAAAGCUCUGUGGGGAGGGAAGCGGUACCUCCUUAGCAAGCACCGGCUAACUCCGUGCCAGCAGCCGCGGUAAUACGGAGGGUGCAAACGUUGCUCGGAAUCAUUGGGCGUAAAGCGCACGUAGGUGGCCUAUUAAGUCAGGUGUGAAAGCCCUGGGCUCAACCCAGGAAGUGCACUUGAUACUGGUAGGCUUGAGUACUGAAGAGGGUCGCGGAAUUCCCGGUGUAGAGGUGAAAUUCGUAGAUAUCGGGAGGAACACCAGUGGCGAAGGCGGCGACCUGGGCAGAAUGACACUGAGGUGCGAAAGCGUGGGGAGCAAACAGGAUUAGAUACCCUUGUAGUC